rnacentral:rRNA from 1 species
UACGAAGGGGGCUAGCGUUGUUCGGAAUUACUGGGCGUAAAGGGCGCGUAGGCUGUGCUGUAAGUCAGGCGUGAAAGGCCCGGGCUCAACCUGGGAAUGGCGCAUGAUACUGCGGCGCUGGAAGGCGGGAGAGGAUGGCGGAAUUCCCAGUGUAGAGGUGAAAUUCGUAGAUAUUGGGAAGAACACCGGUGGCGAAGGCGGCCAUCUGGCCCGCAAGUUGACGCUGAGGCGCGAAAGCGUGGGGAGCAACAGG